AUUGAACGCUGGCGGCAUGCUUUACACAUGCAAGUCGAACGGUAACAGGGUGCUUGCACCGCUGACGAGUGGCAAACGGGUGAGUAAUGCGUCGGAACGUGCCGAGUAGUGGGGGAUAACGCAGCGAAAGUUGUGCUAAUACCGCAUACGUACUGAGGUAGAAAGUGGGGGACCUUCGGGCCUCACGCUAUUCGAGCGGCCGACGUCUGAUUAGCUAGUAGGUGAGGUAAAGGCUCACCUAGGCGACGAUCAGUAGCGGGUCUGAGAGGAUGAUCCGCCACACUGGGACUGAGACACGGCCCAGACUCCUACGGGAGGCAGCAGUGGGGAAUUUUGGACAAUGGGCGAAAGCCUGAUCCAGCCAUGCCGUGUGUCUGAAGAAGGCCUUCGGGUUGUAAAGGACUUUUGUCGGGGAGGAAAUCCCCAGCGUUAAUACCGCUGGGGGAUGACAGUACCUGAAGAAUAAGCGCCGGCUAACUACGUGCCAGCAGCCGCAGUAAAAC
rnacentral:rRNA from 1 species